rnacentral:rRNA from 1 species
AGUAUAGUGGUCGAAAUUUGCCCGAUGCCAUUAAUAUAAAGAAAGUCUGGUUAAUAGCGGUCUUAACUAUGAGGAUCCUAAGGUAGCAAAAUAAAUUGGCCAUUAAAUGUGGUCCGGUAUCAAUAAUGUAACGAUAGCCUCACUGUCUCUACAACUUACUCAGUGAAAUUGAAUU